rnacentral:tRNA from 1 species
UGGGGUAUAGCCAAGUGGUAAGGCAACGGACUUUGACUCCGUCAGUCGCUGGUUCAAAUCCAGCUAUCCCAACCA